rnacentral:rRNA from 1 species
UACGGAGGGUGCAAGCGUUAUCCGGAUUCACUGGGUUUAAAGGGAGCGUAGGUGGCUUUGUAAGUCAGUGGUGAAAUAUUGCGGCUUAACCGCAAAACUGCCAUUGAUACUGCUUAGCUUGAAUCACGUCGAGGUGGAUGGAAUAAUACAUGUAGCGGUGAAAAUGCUUAGAUAUGUAUUAGAACACCGAUUGCGAAGGCAGUUCACUAGGCGUGUAUUGACACUGAGGCUCGAAAGCGUGGGGAUCAAACAGG